ensembl:lincRNA
GAGGAGCCUGCUUUUCUAUUGACAAUACUUUCUCAGACUACUAGCAGUUCAGAAAGAGAAAGUAUUUUAGUCACAUUUGUUAAAAUAAAUUAAUCACGUAAAUUUGUUUUAAAAUAAAUUCUGGAAAAGGAUGCAAACCAAAAGCAAAGAAAAUCUGAAAAAUGGGAUCAAACAAUCAUAUUUUAAAAAUGCAGAUUUUGUAAAACUGUCCCCCACCCCCUACCUGUGAACGUGAAUAAGUUUCAGUUUCAGUUUUUACAGUCCUAACGGAGCACAAACAACACACUUGUUUUGCCGUUAGUUAAAACAGCUUUGUAUUCAUUACAGCAUAAUUUAAAGAAGACAUUAAUUGAGGAACCCAGGAGAAUAUCGAGUUAACAUGAAUGAUCAGAUCCUACUCGAGAUCCUAAUCCCCGUCAUAGGCGGUGCUGUAAUUCAGAUUCUGUUAUUGGUUUACUGGUUCUGUUGUUGGAGGAAAAGUGAAGGAAAAGAUGUUUCACUUAAAAUUCACGUGCUGGUUGCUGGAAAAACUAAUGGUGUUCAAGCCAUAUUCCUAGGAAAACUUCAACAGCGUAUUAGGUUUGAAGUCUGUACAGAAGACUAUCACGUGACUUUAGCUUUCUGCCCUGUCAGCUCCCGAAUUGGGACUGAUAUGGAUGAAGCAAUCAAGAAGAUACCAGGUGACAGGCCUGCUAUUCUGGUUAUGAUGCACCACACUCCCUAUCAUGAUUUGGUUUUGGCCUCAAGUAGCAGACUGGUGAACAAGAGCAACAUAUUAGGAACUACUGACUGUUUGUUCCAUGAGGAAUUGUUCCACAAUUGUGAAAUUAAUAGAAAGGCUUUGAAUUUUGUUUACACCAAGUUACGACACGUAGUUAAAUAGUAAAAGAAUGUGAGAUGUGGACUCCCACAACACAGGCUACAGCACAUGUGUGUAUUUUAAUUUUUAGUUUGUGUUGCUACUUUACAUGCUUGCAAGAUGAGUAAUUGGCACAGUGCUGUUCUGUUCAACAAUAUCCUAAGUUCUGAUGCAGCAUAUUCUAUAAUUCCCUUAACUUGUAUAAUAAAUGCAAUGUUUAGUAAGAACCAAUAUCUGUAGUGUUGCCUCAUCUUGUCUCAUCUCAUCUCAUCUCUUUUUUAACCACUUACUCCUGGUGAGAGUUGCAAUGGUAACAGGCUGUGAAGGGCAGACCAGACUUCCCUAGCAACAGUCUACAGCCCCUCCUGGGGGAUUCCCAAGCACCCUCUGGCUAGCUGAGAGAUGUGAUCCUUACAAUCUGUCAUUCUCAUUCUUUCAGUCACUAGUCAAAGCUCAUGGUGAUGAUGGUGGUGAUGUAAAUCAAUUAGGAAACUGAAAGCUUUGUCUGAAACCUCAGAUACUGCGUUACUACCACGGUUCAGUAUAUUGUCUGCAUUACUGCAGCUGUUGCACCAAACCACUGGUCAAUCUUCCGUUCCCCUUUAUCCCCUAAUGGAUAAGUCCCUGAGGUACUUAAAUUCCACUACUUGAGGUAGCUGUGCCCCCCUCACAUGGUGUGGGGCACAAAAUGGGGACCACCAUCCUAAUAUGCCCAUUC